rfam:Roseateles aquatilis strain CCTG 48205 Scaffold3_1, whole genome shotgun sequence.
AAGCUAAGCCCAUGCGUUGCUGACUCCGUCAGCGCCAUGCCCAGGCAGCUCCGGUCUUCAAGGCUGCGCCGCGGAACCUUCCGCGUAGACCGAACCAGUCCGCUUCGCAUCGCCCGCGCGGACGCCGCCGAUACCUGGCGUCGAUGC